GAUGAACGCUGGCGGCGUGCCUAAUACAUGCAAGUCGAGCGAACGGACGAGAAGAUUGCUUCUCUGAUGUUAGCGGCGGACGGGUGAGCAACACGUGGAUAACCUACCUAUAAGACUGGGAUAACUUCGGGAAACCGGAGCUAAUACCGGAUGAUAUUUUGAACCGCAUGGUUCAAAAGUGAAAGACGGUCUUGCUGUCACUUAUAGAUGGAUCCGCGCUGCAUUAGCUAGUUGGUAAGGUAACGGCUUACCAAGGCAACGAUGCAUAGCCGACCUGAGAGGGUGAUCGGCCACACUGGAACUGAGACACGGUCCAGACUCCUACGGGAGGCAGCAGUAGGGAAUCUUCCGCAAUGGGCGAAAGCCUGACGGAGCAACGCCGCGUGAGUGAUGAAGGUCUUCGGAUCGUAAAACUCUGUUAUUAGGGAAGAACAUAUGUGUAAGUAACUGUGCACAUCUUGACGGUACCUAAUCAGAAAGCCACGGCUAACUACGUG
rnacentral:rRNA from 1 species